rnacentral:ncRNA from 1 species
GGGUUCAGGGGCGCGUUGUGCCGCUGAAGGGCAGUUUUAGAGUGGCCGGGCCGCCACCA